rnacentral:rRNA from 1 species
UGGUGGGUAAUACUGUAUAAUCCCUGCGGGGGAGAGAUUUAUCGCUACAUGAUGAGCCUAUGUUAGAUUAGCUAGUUGGUGGGGUAAUGGCCUACCAAGGCAGUGAUCUAUAGCUGGUCUGAGAGGAUGAUCAGCCACACUGGAACUGAGACACGGUCCAGACUCCUACGGGAGGCAGCAGUGGGGAAUAUUGGACAAUGGGCGCAAGCCUGAUCCAGCUAUGCCGCGUGAGUGAGGAAGGCCUUAGAGUUGUAAAACUCUUUCAGUGGGGAAGAUAAUGACGGUACCCACAGAAGAAGUCCCGGCAAACUCCGUGCCAGCAGCCGCGGUAAUACAGAGGGGGCAUCCCCUGUGUCGGAAUUAUUGGGC